rnacentral:rRNA from 1 species
UACGAAGGGGGCUAGCGUUGCUCGGAAUCACUGGGCGUAAAGCGCACGUAGGCGGAUUGCUAAGUCAGGGGUGAAAUCCUGGAGCUCAACUCCAGAACUGCCUUUGAUACUGGCGAUCUCGAGUUCGGGAGAGGUGAGUGGAACUGCGAGUGUAGAGGUGAAAUUCGUAGAUAUUCGCAAGAACACCAAUGGCGAAGGCAGCUCUCUGGGACGGUACUGGACGGCUGAGAC